rnacentral:rRNA from 1 species
AUUGAACGCUGGCGGCAUGCCUAACACAUGCAAGUCGAACGGCAGCACAGCAGUAGCAAUACUGUGGGUGGCGAGUGGCGGACGGGUGAGGAAUACGUCGGAAUCUGCCCAGUCGUGGGGGAUAACUAGCCGAAAGGUUAGCUAAUACCGCAUACGACCGAGAGGUGAAAGCGGGGGACCGCAAGGCCUCGCGCGAUUGGAUGAGCCGACGUCGGAUUAGCUAGUUGGCGGGUAAAGGCCCACCAAGGCGACGAUCCGUAGCUGGUCUGAGAGGAUGAUCAGCCACACUGGAACUGAGACACGGUCCAGACUCCUACGGGAGGCAGCAGUGGGGAAUAUUGGACAAUGGGCGCAAGCCUGAUCCAGCAAUGCCGCGUGUGUGAAGAAGGCCUUCGGGUGUAAGCACUUUAUCAGGAACGAAAAGGACGUUAGGGAUUAAUAACUCUGACGUGCUGACGGUACCUGAGGAAUAAGCACCGGCUAACUUCGUGCCAG